AGUGAACGCUGGCGGUAGGCCUAACACAUGCAAGUCGAACGGCAGCACAGUAAGAGCUUGCUCUUACGGGUGGCGAGUGGCGGACGGGUGAGGAAUACAUCGGAAUCUACUUUUUCGUGGGGGAUAACGUAGGGAAACUUACGCUAAUACCGCAUACGACCUACGGGUGAAAGCAGGGGAUCUUCGGACCUUGCGCGAUUGAAUGAGCCGAUGUCGGAUUAGCUAGUUGGCGGGGUAAAGGCCCACCAAGGCGACGAUCCGUAGCUGGUCUGAGAGGAUGAUCAGCCACACUGGAACUGAGACACGGUCCAGACUCCUACGGGAGGCAGCAGUGGGGAAUAUUGGACAAUGGGCGCAAGCCUGAUCCAGCCAUACCGCGUGGGUGAAGAAGGCCUUCGGAUUGUAAAGCCCUUUUGUUGGGAAAGAAAAGCAGCAAGUUAAUACCCCGCUGUUCUGACGGUACCCAAAGAAUAAGCACCGGCUAACUUCGUG
rnacentral:rRNA from 1 species